rnacentral:lncRNA from 1 species
CCGGGACGUGAUGGUCUCUGAGCUGCAGCUCUGCCAGCCGCGUCUCGUUUCCUCCUUCCUAUUUUGAAGACCUGAAAAUCUGAACGACUUCAUUUCAGUUUCCUUCCUCCGUCCUGACUGGAAGUCACACUCUGUCCAGAUGAUUAGCGACAACACUUAGAAAAUCCUCCAAGUGGCCCGGCAAGGCCCUGGGAGGUCACAGGAGCAGCUUCCUGUUGUCAGAGCGGGCUGCUGGGGGUGGGUUCGGGGCGGCCUGGAAGAGCAGGGAGGAAGGGAGGGGGCCCCACGGCUGGAACAGAUCAGAUCUGUCCAUUCUAGAAUCAGCCAAUACAGGGGAGGGGUCCCGGGUUCUAGUUUGCAGCCUCUGACUAGAAGGGCCCUGAGGAAAAGAGAAACAAAGAGGAGAGAAGGAGUAGGCGGAGACGUGGCAGCUCCCACGGGUGCUUCCUUGUAUAUUAUCACAUCUAUGGGAACCUCAGUGUCCUGGGAGCCACCUCAUUACUCCCAGUGCAGGGGAGGAAACUGAGGCAAAGAGCGGCUUUGGUGACAUACCCAGGCCCCUACUGUAAAUAAGGGAGACCAGACUCCCAAAGGUGGCUGGCCAGAAGGCACCGCCCAGGGCUGCUCAGGUACCACCCAAAGGCCAGCAGCCACCAUGAGGUGCCAUGGAGCAGACCACAGCCAGCCCAGCCCCAAGACCAGCACACUUAACACCUCGCCCCUGCCCCCCAAGUCUGUUCCCGGGUCACCUCUGCCAGCUCCACAGAAAUCCACGAAAUUACAGCCUCCAGAACUCAGCCACCAUGGGUACAGGUCAGUAGCAUGGAGCACAUUCAGACUGCUGUGCAACCAUCACCACCAUCCAGCUCCAGAUCUCUUUUCAGCCUGCAAAACUGAAACUCUCAGCUCAUUAAACAUAACUUCCCAUUUCCCCAGUCCCUGGCACCCACCAUUGUACGUUCUGUCUCAAUAAAUAUGAUGAUUCUAGGCAGCUCUUAGGAGUGGAACUGUACAGUAUUUGUCCUUUUGUCACCGGCUUAUUUUGCUCAGCAUUAUAUCUUCAAUACAAACUCCCGGGCUCAAGCAAUCCUCCUACCUCAGCCUCCUGAGCAGCUGGAACUACAGGCACACA